rnacentral:tRNA from 1 species
AUCUCGUUAGUAUAGUGGUGAGUAUCCCUGCCUGUCACGCGGGAGACCGGGGUUCGAUUCCCCGACGAGGAG